GAUGAACGCUGGCGGCGUGCCUAAUACAUGCAAGUCGAGCGAACGGACGAGAAGCUUGCUUCUCUGAUGUUAGCGGCGGACGGGUGAGUAACACGUGGAUAACCUACCUAUAAGACUGGGAUAACUUCGGGAAACCGGAGCUAAUACCGGAUAAUAUUUUGAACCGCAUGGUUCAAAAGUGAAAGACGGUCUUGCUGUCACUUAUAGAUGGAUCCGCGCUGCAUUAGCUAGUUGGUAAGGUAACGGCUUACCAAGGCAACGAUGCAUAGCCGACCUGAGAGGGUGAUCGGCCACACUGGAACUGAGACACGGUCCAGACUCCUACGGGAGGCAGCAGUAGGGAAUCUUCCGCAAUGGGCGAAAGCCUGACGGAGCAACGCCGCGUGAGUGAUGAAGGUCUUCGGAUCGUAAAACUCUGUUAUUAGGGAAGAACAUAUGUGUAAGUAACUGUGCACAUCUUGACGGUACCUAAUCAGAAAGCCACGGCUAACUACGUGCCAGCAGCCGCGGUAAUACGUAGGUGGCAAGCGUUAUCCGGAAUUAUUGGGCGUAAAGCGCGCGUAGGCGGUUUUUUAAGUCUGAUGUGAAAGCCCACGGCUCAACCGUGGAGGGUCAUUGGAAACUGGAAAACUUGAGUGCAGAAGAGGAAAGUGGAAUUCCAUGUGUAGCGGUGAAAUGCGCAGAGAUAUGGAGGAACACCAGUGGCGAAGGCGACUUUCUGGUCUGUAACUGACGCUGAUGUGCGAAAGCGUGGGGAUCAAACAGGAUUAGAUACCCUGGUAGUCCACGCCGUAAACGAUGAGUGCUAAGUGUUAGGGGGUUUCCGCCCCUUAGUGCUGCAGCUAACGCAUUAAGCACUCCGCCUGGGGAGUACGACCGCAAGGUUGAAACUCAAAGGAAUUGACGGGGACCCGCACAAGCGGUGGAGCAUGUGGUUUAAUUCGAAGCAACGCGAAGAACCUUACCAAAUCUUGACAUCCUUUGACAACUCUAGAGAUAGAGCUUUCCCCUUCGGGGGACAAAGUGACAGGUGGUGCAUGGUUGUCGUCAGCUCGUGUCGUGAGAUGUUGGGUUAAGUCCCGCAACGAGCGCAACCCUUAAGCUUAGUUGCCAUCAUUAAGUUGGGCACUCUAAGUUGACUGCCGGUGACAAACCGGAGGAAGGUGGGGAUGACGUCAAAUCAUCAUGCCCCUUAUGAUUUGGGCUACACACGUGCUACAAUGGACAAUACAAAGGGCAGCGAAACCGCGAGGUCAAGCAAAUCCCAUAAAGUUGUUCUCAGUUCGGAUUGUAGUCUGCAACUCGACUACAUGAAGCUGGAAUCGCUAGUAAUCGUAGAUCAGCAUGCUACGGUGAAUACGUCCCCGGGUCU
rnacentral:rRNA from 1 species